ACCUGGUUGAUCCUGCCAGUAGUCAUAUGCUUGUCUCAAAGAUUAAGCCAUGCAUGUCUCAGUGCAAGCCGUCCUAAGGCGAAACCGCGAAUGGCUCAUUAAAUCAGUUAUGGUUCCUUGGAUCCUACUUUCCGUACUUGGAUAACUGUGGUAAUUCUAGAGCUAAUACAUGCAAACAGAGCCGUGUCCAGAAAUGGGCAGGGCGCACUUAUUAGAUCAAAACCAAUCGGUCGGUUCGCCGUCCGUGGUCUUGGUGACUCUGAAUAAUUACCACUGAUCGCACGGCCUUUGUGCCGGCGACGUAUCCUUCGAAUGUCUGCCUUAUCAACUGUCGAUGGUAGGUUCUGCGCCUACCAUGGUUGUAACGGGUAAACGGGGAAUCAGGGUUCGAUUCCGGAGAGGGAGCCUGAGAAACGGCUACCACAUCCAAGGAAGGCAGCAGGCGCGCAAAUUACCCACUCCCGGCACGGGGAGGUAGUGACGAAAAAUAACGAUACGGGACUCAUCCGAGGCCCCGUAAUCGGAAUGAGAACACUCUAAAUCUUUUAAGCGAGUACCCUAAU
rnacentral:rRNA from 1 species